UGGAANUGGGCGAAGCCUGAUCCAGCCAUGCCGCGUGAGUGAUGAAGGCCUUCGGGUUGUAAAACUCUUUCGACGGGGACGAUAAUGACGGUACCCGUAGAAGAAGCUCCGGCUAACUUCGUGCCAGCAGCCGCGGUAAUACGAAGGGGGCUAGCGUUGUUCGGAAUUACUGGGCGUAAAGCGCGCGCAGGCGGUUCUCCAAGUCAGUGGUGAAAGCCCGGAGCUCAACUCCGGAACUGCCAUUGAAACUGUUGAACUUGAGGACGAGAGAGGUGAGUGGAAUUCCCAGUGUAGAGGUGAAAUUCGUAGAUAUUGGGAAGAACACCAGUGGCGAAGGCGGCUCACUGGCUCGUAUCUGACGCUCAGGCGCGAUAGCGUGGGGAUCAAACAGGAUUAGAUACCCUGGUAGUCCACGCCGUAAACGAUGAAUGCUAGCCGUUGGGCAGCUUGCUGUUCAGUGGCGCAGCUAACGCAUUAAGCAUUCCGCCUGGGGAGUACGGCCGCAAGGUUGAAACUCAAAAAAAUUGACGGA
rnacentral:rRNA from 1 species